rnacentral:rRNA from 1 species
UACGUAGGGUGCAAGCGUUGUCCGGAAUUAUUGGGCGUAAAGAGCUUGUAGGCGGUUUGUCGCGUCUGCUGUGAAAUUUCGGGGCUCAACCCCGAACUUGCAGUGGGUACGGGCAGACUAGAGUGUGGUAGGGGUGACUGGAAUUCCUGGUGUAGCGGUGGAAUGCGCAGAUAUCAGGAGGAACACCGAUGGCGAAGGCAGGUCACUGGGCCGCAACUGACGCUGAGGAGCGAAAGCAUGGGGAGCGAACAGG